GGGGGUAGCUCAGUGGUAGAGCGUCUGCUUCCCAAGCAGGAUGUCGCGGGUUCGAUCCCCGUCCUCC
rnacentral:tRNA from 1 species